UACGGGGGGAGCAAGCGUUGUUCGGAGUUACUGGGCGUAAAGGGUGUGUAGGCGGUUCUUUAAGUUUGGUGUGAAAUCUCCCGGCUCAACCGGGAGGGUGCGCCGAAUACUGAGGGACUCGAGUGCGGGCGAGGAAAGUGGAAUUCCUGGUGUAGCGGUGAAAUGCGUAGAUAUCAGGAGGAACACCGGUGGUGUAGACGGCUUUCUGGACCGUAACUGACGCUGAGACACGAAAGCGUGGGUAGCAAACAGG
rnacentral:rRNA from 1 species